GAUGAACGCUGGCGGCGUGCCUAAUACAUGCAAGUCGAGCGAACGGACGAGAAGCUUGCUGCUCUGAUGUUAGCGGCGGACGGGUGAGUAACACGUGGAUAACCUACCUAUAAGACUGGGAUAACUUCGGGAAACCGUAGCUAAUACCGGAUAAUAUUUUGAACCGCAGGGUUCAAUAGUGAAAGACGGUCUUGCUGUCACUUAUAGAUGGAUCCGCGCUGCAUUAGCUAGUUGGGAAGGUAACGGCUUACCAAGGCAACGAUGCAUAGCCGACCUGAGGGGGGGUAGGCCGCCUGUGAGAGUGACACACGAUCCAGGCUCCUAGGUGAGGCAGAGGUAGGUAAUCUACGGAAAAGGGGGAAAGCUUGACGAAGCAACGCAGGGCGGGUGAAGCAGGGCUGCGGGUCGUAAAACUCUCUUAUUGGGGAAGACCAUAUUUGUAAGUAACUGUGCACGACUGACGGGAACCUAUUAAGAAGCCCCGGCUAACUUCCGG
rnacentral:rRNA from 1 species